CAAAUUGUUAACCCAUAGAAUCACAGAAAACGAAAAGGUUGCUUGUUAAGCCACCAAGUUCUGGCAUGUUUAUUAUACAGCAACGGAAAGCUGAUAUACAAUAUGUUAAUAUCUCAGGCUGAAAGGGCUUGUAGAGUGCUAAACAAGAUGGAUUUUAGAAAUACAUACACAUUUAGAAGAAGAACACAAAAGACAAAGAAAAAAUUCUAAAUUCUUUUCGGUAAAAGAAAAAAGCAGAUCAUCUUCAAAGGAAAAAUAAUCAGAUUGACAUCAGAAGUCUCAGUAACCCUGGAUAUAGCAGAACUCAUGAUAUUUUUCAAGCAUUAAAAAGAAAGGGAACUUCAAAACCAGGAAUUUUUUUCUUUUUUGGUUAAUGGCUGUUGGUUCAAACAAAUCCAGACGUUUGGUUAGAUAUAAAAGUCUAGAUUGGUUGGAACCAAUCAUUUAAAUAAGAUGGUGAAAUAUUCUCAGGCAUACCAGGCCCCGAAAGUUUUAACACAUAAAACACUGCUUGAAUAUUUAUUAAAAUAAUUACUCCAGCAAGAAGAAAAAUGAAAACCAAGGGCUGGGGAUAUAAAAUUAGAAAAUAAGUUGGCAAAUUCAAGUUAUAUCUAAAUAAGUAUUGCAAAAAGGAAGAAAGAGUGGAGGGAAGAAAGGGAAUGUUGGGUAUAUUCUUAGUAAUCAGAAAAUCCUGAGUGAUAAUAAUUGGGGAAAUGCUAAAUGACAUUGUAGGUAAGUAGUAGGACUCUAGAGACGAAUAAUUUGGGUCUAAAUCUUGCCUCAGUCAUUCUGGCUGGAUUGCCUUCAAUAAGUUAUUUAACCUCUCUGAGCCUCAGUGUCUCAUUUGCUUAAAAUGGGCUUGAUGAAACAGAACCCAUAUCACAGGCUUAUUCUGAGCAUUAAAGGAGUCCAGUUGUAAAUCCCUUGGAUUCAUAACUGGCUUACAGUAAGCUUUCAAUAAAUGUUUGAAGUUAUUAUUAAUAUGGGGAGGAGCUAAAGGAAGGUGGGAAAUAAAUAAUCAAAACCACUGAACCACAUUAAUUCAGAUAUAAAUAAACAUUUUAAAGAUAAUAAUGAAUAUGCUAGGAAUGGAAAAGGUGUAUUAGGUGGUCAGGAAAGGCCUCCCUGCCGAAGUGACUUCUCAGCUGCGACUGGAAUGAUAAGAGGAUCAUGAUGAAAAUUACCAAGGACAGAGCCCCACUCCCUUAAACCAUUCCAGGGAGUGAGCAGGUCCUCAGUGAGGAAUGGCUUGUGCUUUCCAGGAGGCACCCCCCAGAUGCAGGGCUUGCAGAUGCAAAAGUUCCUGAAAGCACGUAUGACGUUGCAGUGAGUCUCCCAUUUUCAUGGAGCUAUGGGAGCUUGAAAUAUGACCAGGGGCCUUCCUAAAUUGGCUGUUCUGCAGAGGAAUUUCAGGACUUUUGCAUAUCCUGGGGAGACAGUAGAGAGGAGAGAAAACUCUAACAAUGACUAAAAUUGAAUUUCCCAUCAAUUCAGAGGGAUGGGGAUCUCAAAGUCAGCUUCAUUAAAGAACACGUGACAUUUCUUGUAAAUUCCAGUUUGUGCAGUAAGAUUCACAUGCUUACUAUAAAAGCGGUUCUUUGGCUUACUUGUUUCUUCUACCUUGCUUCCUCUUCCUUUAACCCAGCCUUAUGAUAGUCAUAUUUGAAGUUCCUUUGGGAAGGAAUGCAUAUUCAUUUGAUGAAAUUGGGGAAAUGGUGUCAAUUACUAGAGCCCCUGUAAUCACAGCUGAGCCUUUUAAUCACAGCAAUGUCCACAUGGGGCUCUGCUCAGUUAACAUCAUGAGGCUCAAGUUAGUAUCUCUUUGGAGUGAAAAGCUCUUUCUGAAUCAUAACUUUGUGGUCAGAUAAGAGAAAGUUUCUAGGUCUUAGCUCAGUAGGAAAGGUAACUGCCAUCAGAAUUCCAGACCAUCUUUCAUAACUUCUCGAAGAGGUGACAAUAACUACCAUCACCAUCAUUCCUCUGGCCCUAUCUGUGACUCAGAACCAGUUCUGAUAUUUUGACAUUGCCCAUUGGUACCCAACGCUUCCCUCUGGUGUUCCUAGUUUCACUAGUGACUUUAGAUCUCUGAACACUCUGACUGUCACGGUGGUGUUUUGGACCCUCACUAGGAUAGAAUGGCCAUAGUUUUGGGGAGAUGCUGAUUCACUCUAAUCUCCUACUGGGCUCUCAAAUAUAUUAUCGUGGAAGAACAUUACCCUACUGGCUAAUUUCAUAAAGAUAUCGUGUUUGUUAAGGUCUGUGAUGCGACGUAUCUUAUUGCAUGGCCUUAGGCAAGUUACUUAACCUCUCUAAGACUCAGUCUCUUUAUCUGUAAAGUGGAGGAAGUAAUAGGAUUGAUCCUGCGAGGUUAUGAUGAGGAGUAAGUGAGAUAAUACAUGUAAAGCACUUAAUAAAGUGACUGGGUCAUAAUAGCUUAUAGUAAGUGCUUAACACAUUUUUGCUAUACAUGGCAUUGGUGACAAGAGAGAGGUUUAUAUCAAAUAGGAUCCAAUCUGUAAAAUAGAAGCCAUGCUAUUCAUCCCAGGAUUUAUGUUUUAAUAUAGAGAACUAGGGGCUUACACAACUACUGGAGAAGCUGGGGGAGCCAAGCAUCAGAGAAACCAUUCCUCAAAUCUCAGCCUGAAGCUCUGGAUUGGGUGCUUCUCAUGAGCUCACCAGAAAUCACUAAAAUUUCUAGCAAUUCCUGGGGUACCUCCACCAACAAUCUCAGUCUGAGUGAUGAUGAGAGUGCAGCACAUCCAAAGCUCGCUGAGAGAGGCUGUAACUGUCAGUUUGUCUGCCUCUGGUUGCCACUGUCAUUCCCCAACUCUCCAUCCCGAGUAAGGCCUCAACUUCUAUCCUGCUUGCAUGUCUCAAAUGGGUGCCCCUCAGUGGUAGACUCCAAUCAGGAACCAUAUGGUGGUGCGGGGUGUAGGGGUAGCGGGGGAUUAUAUAGUUCCCAGCUCCUUGUUUGCAUCUCCUUCUCAUACCAAAGCAUUAACCAGUAUUUCUCUUACGGAGCAAACUGAACUGGUUAGAUUUCCUCAUCUAUUUUUACUCUGGAUGCAGAAGCUAAAGAGCAGGGGAAGAGUUCAGAGUCAAAAACCAACCUGGGUAAUUGAGUGAGUAAUCCUGGAGUAACUGAGGUUGUUCUGUAAUCUGUAUUUUUUUUAUUAUACUUUAAGUUUUAGGGUACAUGUGCACAAUGUACAGGUUAGUUACAUAUGUAUACAUGUGCCAUGCUGGUGCACUGCACCCACUAACUCGUCAUCUAGCAUUAGGUAUAUAAAAAAUCUCUUCCUAUACCCCCAGGGUAUAUUUCUUAUUAAAAUAACAACUGCAUGAAUUUAUAUAACAUCUUUCAGUUUGUAAAGAAUUUCUAUGAUCAUUAUCUUCAUUUUUAUUCUCACAACAGCUCUAUGAGGUAUAUAUUACUCUAGGGUCACAAGUGUGAAAACCAAGGCUCCAAGACUCUCCCAGCCUAAAUGUAGACCUCCUAAGCCAGCCCUACCAUCAUCUUCCUUAGUGUAAUAAAUAUAGAAGUAAAUAUAUCAAUAAGCAAGUAUCUGGAGAGCAUGUCCAUGCCAAAAGUAAAAAUAAUCCAAACACAAAAUUUAAAAGCUAUGUUAUUGAUGUUAAAAAUGUUUCAACUAUAUAAUACAAAUCAUAAGGGUCUUUUGACAAGUCAUAAUUAGACCAACAGGAUAUUAAAUUCAGACAGGACCUUUACAGCCUAGUCUCCUUUGCCCAGAAGGCUAAAACACUUACCUGAGACAUAUGACUUGAUAAUAAUGGAUUUAGAAUGGGAGUUUAUGUUGAUGAACUCCAAGACCCACUGGUGAUUAUUUUCAUGUUGACGUGGACUUGGUACAUUACAAUGUUAGUUUUAGUACUAGAGAUUACCUCCCGUUUUUAGUACUGUUCUUUCCCCACUGCCUAUAGAAAUUAUGAAUAUCAGAAGCUUUUACACCAGACAGUAAGUCUUUGAUUAAACUUGGGAGGCCCAAGCACAAAGUUUUGAUUGACAAUAAUGUAAUCCAGGGCAGGAAGCAAGCCUGAAAUGGGUUCUAAGGAAGAUAGUUCCGAUAUGCCUCAAGCAUGCUGAAGACAUCUGCACCAAUUAAAAGGCAAUUAAAUGCGUAAUAAAUGGAAAUUCUACAAAAUUGUUCCGUAAAAAACUCCAAGUGGGAGCUGCUGGGGUGUACUUGCUGAGUGAGAAAUGUGUGCCAAGAUGAAGGUUACCCAUUUUUUAGCUGAUGUGCUGCUCUGCGAUGCCAGCAAGACAUCGUUAAAAGUGACAAUUCAGAAACAGUUCUUUUAGGAGUUCCACUUCAGCAUAUGAGAAUGGUGAAAUUUCUGCUGGUUCCAUGCGUGGGAGAAAAAGGAAUGCAAAGCACACAAAUGAGGGUGGACUGGAGAUAGAGGGAAACAGGGAGAGUGACACUGCUUGGCAGUUCUGCCAUGGCCUGGAGCCUGUGAAUCUGAGCAUUCCGUGAUAAUGAGGGGCAGCACAGAAGAGGCUGAACAUGACAAUGAUGUUCUGAGCCAGUAAGAUGAGCUAAUGAGCUGUAUAGACCGUAGCAGCCAAUAUGCUCCCUUUGGGAUAAUGGUCACCCCAUCUUUUCUGUCUGAUUUCAUGCCACUCCAUGGUCCAGGAAAAAAUAUGCCAGGGUUGAAUCCUGAUAUAACAAAUAUUUAUCAUCCAGUCUUAUAUUACAGGCCUCUUGGGCACCAGAUAACAGGGUGAAUCACAAUCAUGGUCAAUCGGGGAAACAGAAUCACUAUUUGUCAUGAGAUAAGGAGUUUCUUAUAGGAGUUAGACCUAGCUCAAUUAUGAGAGGAGCUGGGGAGGUGAUGGUGCAGGAGGGAAGUGGGAGGAUCAGAGUAGUCAACAUCCAGUGUGACUGAGAAGCCAAGUAUGUCCAGCCUCCAUGGGACUUUGCAGACAAGAGGGUCACAGGAUGCCUCUGUGGGUGACUGUGCCUCUGCAGGUCUGCUGGCAAGCAUCUGAGGUAGGACCCAGGGCUCUCCUUCGUCAACCAGAUGAACGGUCGGGAAGAACUGGAAGCAGUGAGGAGGAGAGUGAGGACAAGCUGGAGCUCGCUGGUACCUUGGCAUUUUUUGGUCACUGCAUCUAACCUUGAUGACCUUCAGCCAGAAACCAUUGCUGCCUCACUUUUGCCUUCUAUAUCCCAUACAAGUACCCUUUUGGCCAACUCUCAACCAGAAACAUACAAGGAUGGGGAUCUUAGGAGGUGAUUUAACAGAGUUGGCACAGGACAAACUACCCCCUAGGGUGAGUAGUGAUGACUGGAAUGAUCUGGGUUGAAGCUGAGAUUUCAGGUUAACAUGCAAGGUACAGGAAGAAGAGAGAAGGAGGUGAGGACCCAGAACCAGCUCAAGAACUGGAGAGGCAAGGCAUGGGAAAGUUGUGUGGUCUGAACAAAUACAUUUCAGGGAAAAUAAAACUGGCUUUAUUUCACCCUGGGUGCUGAAGCCAUGCUCAUUUUAAGCACUCAAUGGACUUGACUUGAAGGUGGGCAUGAGGCUCCUGAAUGUUAAAAGGGCUGUCAUUUAUUAGAACAUUCCUUAAUCUGGUCUGCAUAAUCAAGACUACUCUUGUUCAAAGCACCAGGACAGGAACCCACAAACAGAGUUGGCUGGAGCCACCCAAAUUCAAGUAUUUCUCCAUAACAGAAAUGUUAUCUACCUCAAGUUUUAGGAUGACAGUGAAAGAAGCUGCUUAGAAGGACUCAGUUACUUUCUAGAUGAAUUUUGUACAGGCCUACCGAGAUAGGUAGGUAGCUAUAAAGACUUACAGAUAAAAUAAGCGGUCUACAAAUAAAACUACAAUGUGAUCAUCAACGAUCAAUUUUUCCUAAAUCAGGUGUUAAUUAGUAACUCAGGUUACAUUCUAGAUGAAUUUUAUACAGGCCUACCGAGAUAGGUAGGUAGAUAUAAAGACUUACAGAUACAUAAAAUAAGCACUCUACAAAUAAAACUACAAUAUGUUUAUAACAACUACUUUUUCUUAAAUCAGGUAUUAAUUACUAACUCAGGUUAUGAUAGUAACUUGAGUAUGGAUAUAUACUUGCCCAGGAACUGAUAAAGAAAUAUCUCUAUAGGGGUUUCCUAGAUCUUGCAGGUAGUGAAUAAGAAUGUACCUAAUGCUAAAUGACGAGUUAAUGGGUGCAGCACACCAGCAUGGCACAUGUAUACAUAUGUAACUAACCUGCACAUUGUGCACAUGUACCCUAAAACUUAAAGUAUAAUAAUAAUAAAAUAAAAUAAAAUAAAAAAAUAAUAAAAGCUUAAAAAAAAUGCCAAACCCACAUGAAGGUAGGCUCAAGGUUACAAUUUCUUACAGGAAACGUUUUACAAAAUUUCCAACCAGAAUUCAUGCCAAGAUAGGCCAGCUUCCUUAUUUCCCUUUGCUGGUGAGGUGAUUUUUUUUGUUCUAUUGUGCCUUUUUCUAGGCAUAGGCCUUUGAGGGAUCUGAAUUUCUGUGUGGCUUCCCAUUGCUUAAUUUGCAGGUCUCAAGGCCUUGUCUCCAUCCUUCAGCACUGCCAUUCAUUCACACCCAAACCUCUUGGUUCCGAAAAUGGGUCCUUGUUUUGGCUUAUAGCUCCACUGGUAGCAGCCUGUUCAUCUCCUGUUCUCCGGUUCCUUGAAAUUCCCUUACUUUCUUCUGAAUCCAACCAUGCAUUUGAAACUACUUGUUAUAUUUUAUGCUAGAUUUCUUGUAUUUUGUAUCAGAGUUGUUCAGUGGUUGUAGAAUUCCAGAUUUAUGGAAAAGGAAGUUGCCAAGAUGAUCACUAAAAUUCCUUCUGGUCAACAAUGUGCUACACAAUGUAGCACUGUCAGACUAGAAUUCUCAGUAUUACCCAGAAUCCAAGAAAAACAGCCUUGGCCAAGAAAGGUUUCCUCAUUUGUCUUCUAGGAGUCUAGGGGUGGGAGAGUAUGCCCAUCCCAUUAUCCUACACUCAUUAUAUUGUUGGAGUUCUUUGAAAUAGUGAAAGAAGUCUUUUCUUCUCUGGCAUUUAUGUUCUUUAUGUUCAUGGAUGGCGAGAAACCCUAAUCAUUACCAAUCUCUUUAAAGGCAAAGGUGUCUUAGUGCUCAGUUGUGAUUUUGAAGCUCCAAAUUAAUGAUCUGUUGAAUAAUGGAGAUAAACUCCCGGGAAUUCCUAGAUCCAGCAAACCAUCUGCUCUUCUCUCUGGUGCACUGAAGAUAAUUCGAACUCACCAGUCAGUGUGCCUUUUCCAGCUUAAGAACCAGUCGGUACCUGGAAUAAAAGAAGACAAGUAGAAAAUAAAUGUUUUUUUAACUUCUAGCUGGAAACGUUAAAAGAGAGAUUUUGAUUUGUU
rnacentral:lncRNA from 10 species